CUACGUAGGGGGCGAGCGUUGUCCGGAAUGAUUGGGCGUAAAGGGCGCGUAGGCGGCCCGGUAAGUCUGGAGUGAAAGUCCUGUUUUUAAGAUGGGAAUUGCUUUGGAUACUGUCGGGCUUGAGUGCAGGAGAGGUUAUCGGAAUUCCCGGUGUAGCGGUGAAAUGCGUAGAGAUCGGGAGGAACACCAGUGGCGAAGGCGGGUAACUGGACUGCAACUGACGCUGAGGCGCGAAAGUGUGGGGAGCAAACAGGAUUAGAUACCCUGGUAGUCCACACUGUAAACGAUGAAUGCUAGGUGUAAGAGGUAUCGACCCCUUUUGUGCCGGAGUCAACACAAUAAGCAUUCCGCCUGGGGAGUACGGCCGCAAGGUUGAAACUCAAAUGAAUUGACGGGG
rnacentral:rRNA from 1 species